rnacentral:rRNA from 1 species
CCUACGGGUGGCAGCAGUGAGGAAUAUAGGUCAAUGGACGAGAGUCUGAACCAGCCAAGUAGCGUGAAGGAUGACUGCCCUAUGGGUUGUAAACUUCUUUUAUAUGGGAAUAAAAUGUUCCACGUGUGGGAUUUUGUAUGUACCAUAUGAAUAAGGAUCGGCUAACUCCGUGCCAGCAGCCGCGGUAAUACGGAGGAUCCGAGCGUUAUCCGGAUUUAUUGGGUUUAAAGGGAGCGUAGGUGGAUUGUUAAGUCAGUUGUGAAAGUUUGCGGCACAACCGUAAAAUUGCAGUUGAAACUGGCAGUCUUGAGUACAGUAGAGGUGGGCGGAAUUCGUGGUGUAGCGGUGAAAUGCUUAGAUAUCACGAAGAACUCCGAUUGCGAAGGCAGUUCACUGGACUGCAACUGACACUGAGGCUCGAAAGUGUGGGUAUCAAACAGGAUUAGAUACCCUAGUAGUC